UACGUAGGUGGCGAGCGUUGUCCGGAAUUACUGGGUGUAAAGGGCGUGUAGGCGGGAAUACAAGUCAGAUGUGAAAUACCGGGGCUUAACUCCGGGGCUGCAUCUGAAACUGUAUUUCUUGAGUACUGGAGAGGAAAGCGGAAUUCCUAGUGUAGCGGUGAAAUGCGUAGAUAUUAGGAGGAACACCAGUGGCGAAGGCGGCUUUCUGGACAGUAACUGACGCUGAGGCGCGAAAGCGUGGGGAG
rnacentral:rRNA from 1 species